GAUGAACGCUGGCGGCGUGCCUAAUACAUGCAAGUCGAGCGAACAGACGAGGAGCUUGCUCCUCUGACGUUAGCGGCGGACGGGUGAGUAACACGUGGAUAACCGACCUAUAAGACUGGGAUAACUUCGGGAAACCGGAGCUAAUACCGGAUAAUAUAUUGAACCGCAUGGUUCAAUAGUGAAAGACGGUUUUGAUGUCACUUAUAGAUGGAUCCGCGCCGCAUUAGCUAGUUGGUAAGGUAACGGCUUACCAAGGCAACGAUGCGUAGCCGACCUGAGAGGGUGAUCGGCCACACUGGAACUGAGACACGGUCCAGACUCCUACGGGAGGCAGCAGUAGGGAAUCUUCCGCAAUGGGCGAAAGCCUGACGGAGCAACGCCGCGUGAGUGAUGAAGGUCUUCGGAUCGUAAAACUCUGUUAUUAGGGAAGAACAAAUGUGUAAGUAACUAUGCACGUCUUGACGGUACCUAAUCAGAAAGCCACGGCUAACUACGUG
rnacentral:rRNA from 1 species